rnacentral:rRNA from 1 species
GCCCAGACUCCUACGGGAGGCAGCAGUGAGGAAUAUUGGUCAAUGGCCGAGAGGCUGAACCAGCCAAGUCGCGUGAGGGAUUAAGGCCCUAUGGGUCGUAAACCUCUUUUGUCAGGGAGCAAGGUCGUCCACGUGUGGGCGUAUGGAGAGUACCUGAAGAAAAAGCAUCGGCUAACUCCGUGCCAGCAGCCGCGGUAAUACGGAGGAUGCGAGCGUUAUCCGGAUUUAUUGGGUUUAAAGGGUGCGUAGGCGGGACCUUAAGUCAGCGGUAAAAUUGCGGUGCUCAACGCCGUAGAGCCGUUGAACCUGGGUCUCUUGAGUGAGCGAGAAGUAUGCGGAAUGCGUGGUGUAGCGGUGAAAU